rnacentral:rRNA from 1 species
GUGUCAGCCGCCGCGGUAAUACGUAGGUGGCGAGCGUUGUCCGGAAUUACUGGGUGUAAAGGGCGUGUAGGCGGGAAUGUAAGUCAGAUGUGAAAUCCCAGGGCUUAACCCUGGAGCUGCAUCUGAAACUAUGUUUCUUGAGUGCCGGAGAGGAUAGCGGAAUUCCUAGUGUAGCGGUGAAAUGCGUAGAUAUUAGGAGGAACACCAGUGGCGAAGGCGGCUAUCUGGACGGUAACUGACGCUGAGGCGCGAAAGCGUGGGGAGCAAACAGGAUUAGAAACCCCCGUAGUCC